CGAACGGCAGCACGAGAGAGCUUGCUCUCUUGGUGGCGAGUGGCGGACGGGUGAAGUAAUAUAUACGGAACGUCGACCCAGUAGGCGGGGGAAUAACUACUACGAAAGAGUGGCUAAUACCGCAUACCNCCGUACGGGAAGGGGGGAUCGCAAGACCUCUCACUAUUGGAGCGGCCGAUAUCGGAUUAGCUAGUUGGUGGGGUAAAGGCUCACCAAGGCAACGAUCCCGUAGCUGGUUUGAGAGGACGACCAGCCACACUGGGACUGAGACACGGCCCAGACUCCUACGGGAGGCAGCAGUGGGGAAUUUUGGACAAUGGGGGAAACCCUGAUCCAGCCAUCCCGCGUGUAUGAUGAAGGCCUUCGGGUUGUAAAGUACUUUUGGCAGAGAAGAAAAGGCAUCCCCUAAUACGGGAUGCUGCUGACGGUAUCUGCAGAAUAAGCACCGGCUAACUAC
rnacentral:rRNA from 1 species